UUGAGUGUUGGUGUAGUACUAACCUGCUAUAUGAAAAGUGGAUGUACUGAUACAUAACCAAAGAAAGGUGGAGGUUUAUUCUUUUGAUAUCAAGGGUGCAAUCUCUAAAUGACAAGUGCACUCCCAUCUUCAAUGUGGGAGACGGGACAUCCCUUUUGGCCAAACAUCUGAAACUUGCUUGGCCUUCAAUCACAGCUAAAGAUCAAGCCAACAUC
rnacentral:lncRNA from 1 species